GGGUUGUGAGGUUAAGCGACUAAGCGUACACGGUGGAUGCCCUGGCAGUCAGAGGCGAUGAAGGGCGUGCUAAUCUGCGAUAAGCGCCGGUAAGGUGAUAUGAACCGUUAUAACCGGCGAUACCCGAAUGGGGAAACCCAGUGUGACUCGUCACACUAUCAUUAACUGAAUCCAUAGGUUAAUGAGGCGAACCGGGGGAACUGAAACAUCUAAGUACCCCGAGGAAAAGAAAUCAACCGAGAUUCCCCCAGUAGCGGCGAGCGAACGGGGAGGAGCCCAGAGCCUGAAUCAGCAUGUGUGUUAGUGGAAGCGUCUGGAAAGGCGCGCGAUACAGGGUGACAGCCCCGUACACAAAAGCGCAUGUGCUGUGAGCUCGAUGAGUAGGGCGGGACACGUGGUAUCCUGUCUGAAUAUGGGGGGACCAUCCUCCAAGGCUAAAUACUCCUGACUGACCGAUAGUGAACCAGUACCGUGAGGGAAAGGCGAAAAGAACCCCGGCGAGGGGAGUGAAAAAGAACCUGAAACCGUGUACGUACAAGCAGUGGGAGCACAGGUUUACCUGUGUGACUGCGUACCUUUUGUAUAAUGGGUCAGCGACUUAUAUUCUGUAGCAAGGUUAACCGAAUAGGGGAGCCGGAGGGAAACCGAGUCUUAAUUGGGCGUUAAGUUGCAGGGUAUAGACCCGAAACCCGGUGAUCUAGCCAUGGGCAGGUUGAAGGUUGGGUAACACUAACUGGAGGACCGAACCGACUAAUGUUGAAAAAUUAGCGGAUGACCUGUGGCUGGGGGUGAAAGGCCAAUCAAACCGGGAGAUAGCUGGUUCUCCCCGAAAGCUAUUUAGGUAGCGCCUCGUGAAUUCAUCUCCGGGGGUAGAGCACUGUUUCGGCUAGGGGGCCAUCCCGGCUUACCAACCCGAUGCAAACUGCGAAUACCGGAGAAUGUUAUCACGGGAGACACACGGCGGGUGCUAACGUCCGUCGUGAAGAGGGAAACAACCCAGACCGCCAGCUAAGGUCCCAAAGUCAUGGUUAAGUGGGAAACGAUGUGGGAAGGCCCAGACAGCCAGGAUGUUGGCUUAGAAGCAGCCAUCAUUUAAAGAAAGCGUAAUAGCUCACUGGUCGAGUCGGCCUGCGCGGAAGAUGUAACGGGGCUAAACCAUGCACCGAAGCUGCGGCAGCGACACUGUGUGUUGUUGGGUAGGGGAGCGUUCUGUAAGCCUGUGAAGGUGUGUCGUGAGGCAUGCUGGAGGUAUCAGAAGUGCGAAUGCUGACAUAAGUAACGAUAAAGCGGGUGAAAAGCCCGCUCGCCGGAAGACCAAGGGUUCCUGUCCAACGUUAAUCGGGGCAGGGUGAGUCGACCCCUAAGGCGAGGCCGAAAGGCGUAGUCGAUGGGAAACGGGUUAAUAUUCCCGUACUUGGUGUUACUGCGAAGGGGGGACGGAGAAGGCUAUGUUGGCCGGGCGACGGUUGUCCCGGUUUAAGCGUGUAGGUGUGUGUUCCAGGUAAAUCCGGUUCACUUUAACACUGAGGCGUGACGACGAGGCACUACGGUGCUGAAGCAACAAAUGCCCUGCUUCCAGGAAAAGCCUCUAAGCAUCAGGUAACAUCAAAUCGUACCCCAAACCGACACAGGUGGUCAGGUAGAGAAUACCAAGGCGCUUGAGAGAACUCGGGUGAAGGAACUAGGCAAAAUGGUGCCGUAACUUCGGGAGAAGGCACGCUGACACGUAGGUGAAGUGAUUUACUCAUGGAGCUGAAGUCAGUCGAAGAUACCAGCUGGCUGCAACUGUUUAUUAAAAACACAGCACUGUGCAAACACGAAAGUGGACGUAUACGGUGUGACGCCUGCCCGGUGCCGGAAGGUUAAUUGAUGGGGUCAGCGCAAGCGAAGCUCCUGAUCGAAGCCCCGGUAAACGGCGGCCGUAACUAUAACGGUCCUAAGGUAGCGAAAUUCCUUGUCGGGUAAGUUCCGACCUGCACGAAUGGCGUAAUGAUGGCCAGGCUGUCUCCACCCGAGACUCAGUGAAAUUGAACUCGCUGUGAAGAUGCAGUGUACCCGCGGCAAGACGGAAAGACCCCGUGAACCUUUACUAUAGCUUGACACUGAACAUUGAGCCUUGAUGUGUAGGAUAGGUGGGAGGCUUUGAAGUGUGGACGCCAGUCUGCAUGGAGCCGACCUUGAAAUACCACCCUUUAAUGUUUGAUGUUCUAACGUGGACCCGUUACCCGGGUUGCGGACAGUGUCUGGUGGGUAGUUUGACUGGGGCGGUCUCCUCCUAAAGAGUAACGGAGGAGCACGAAGGUUGGCUAAUCCUGGUCGGACAUCAGGAGGUUAGUGCAAUGGCAUAAGCCAGCUUGACUGCGAGCGUGACGGCGCGAGCAGGUGCGAAAGCAGGUCAUAGUGAUCCGGUGGUUCUGAAUGGAAGGGCCAUCGCUCAACGGAUAAAAGGUACUCCGGGGAUAACAGGCUGAUACCGCCCAAGAGUUCAUAUCGACGGCGGUGUUUGGCACCUCGAUGUCGGCUCAUCACAUCCUGGGGCUGAAGUAGGUCCCAAGGGUAUGGCUGUUCGCCAUUUAAAGUGGUACGCGAGCUGGGUUUAGAACGUCGUGAGACAGUUCGGUCCCUAUCUGCCGUGGGCGCUGGAGAACUGAGGGGGGCUGCUCCUAGUACGAGAGGACCGGAGUGGACGCAUCACUGGUGUUCGGGUUGUCAUGCCAAUGGCACUGCCCGGUAGCUAAAUGCGGAAGAGAUAAGUGCUGAAAGCAUCUAAGCACGAAACUUGCCCCGAGAUGAGUUCUCCCUGAGACUUAGAGUCUCCUGAAGG
rnacentral:rRNA from 1 species